CAGCCAUGUGUGCCUCACCCAAUACAAGGAGCCUGCACAGUUUCUAGCCAGUGCAGAUCUCCUGAGCUUGGCAGGUAGAUGGAAGAGAGAUGGACACUCUGCACCCCACUACGUAGAACCCCAUGUCUACAAUAUCACAAUUAUGUCCCUGUGCGCAUUGCCGUAGGUGUCUGUAAGCAGCCCCUGCACUGUAGGGAGGUGGUUCAUUCACUCAUGCUGUUCCAGCCAUUCUGGCCUCCCUUGAAUCCUAGGAGAUUGGUCUCCACAAUUUAUGCAAAUGAUUCUUCUCAAUUUGUGUGUGUAUAUGGUCUUUUUUCCCCCUGAAUUCUAGUUACCUGAGUGUUAGUACUUUUACUUUUCUUAUCCGUAUCUUGUAGCUUUAUUUUAUAUUUUCUGGGUUGUUUUUUAUUUUAUUUAUUUAUUUAUUUAUUUUUUUUUUAAUGAAAGAGCUCUUCAAUGUGCUUUUCCAAUUUUCUAACUCAAGUUUCAGCCAUCUAUAUUUUUUCACACUGGCACAGUGAUGCCCUCAAUACUUGCUGGGUUGAAAUAAGGAGGUCAGGAGGGGUGUGGGGAAGGGAGCAGAGGAACACUCAACAUUUUUAGGCACCUGUUUAUUCUAAGCUGGGCACUUCACCAGUGCUUUAUCAUUAAUCUUCAAAGAGUCCUUCAAGAUGAUUAUUGUUAACCUAAGAGGCUGCCGUGUUAGAAUCCCAGAGCAUGGUGUCUCCAGAGCUACGUGAGUUCCACCGUGACUUCUGCACUGGCCAGCAAGUCUCCUGUCUUCUCAUGCAUGCCCUGUGCUCCUCGGCUGGGCUUCCCCGAGGCUGGAUUAGGCUGAGUCCUGCAGGACACGACUCUGAGUUCAGCCAGCCCCUUAGGAGGGGCCAUCACAGAGGCACCACCAAGGUGGACUAUCCCUACGGUCAGUGUGUGAAUUGGGGAAGGGUCUACCUGUUGCUGGACUGCAGCCUGCCAGGACUUUCCUCUUUCCCACCGAGCAAAGACCAUUUGGAGCAGCCAGCACUUGUGAAGUGGAAUAUACCUCUGGAUCUUGGACCUCGCCCGCCUUUCCUGAGGGGACACUGUGAGGGCCAUCUCAGAAUGUCCUGGAGUCUGCUCCUCACUCACAGGCCGGCCUAAAGAGUCAAGGCAGCCACGUGUAAGGUAAGGAAGAGCAUAUACAGGGAACCGUGAGUAAGCCGAUAAAUCAGCCAAAAAGCAGAGCAGGAAGGACCGACUGGCACCGGUGAAUACGAACAAUAACCAGGCAGAAGUGCCAGCUGGAGCCUCCUUGUGGUGGGGCUGUGUAACGAACUCGUGGAGAAGACUGUGGAUGGGACGUGGACAUGACUUCCAGGGUGAAGGUGCUCUAUGCAGCUCCUUAAAGAGGCAGAUUUUGCUAGGAUUGCUAAAGCUGUCCCUGGAGCUCUGGGCCCAGCCCCGGGCGGCUAGCAUUAUCCUGAGAGUCAGGUAUGAGGCAAUCUGGACAUUGUGACCUAGACUCACGAUAUUCAGCCAGAAAAGGAACAUGGAGGCCACCUCGUUCAACCCGCUCAUUUUACAGCCCCUGAUGCCUCGGCUCUUGGAGUGGAAUCCCAGGGCCCCCACGCUGACAGUCUUCCCCCCACGGAGGCGUCCACCAGCUUCUCGGAGACCAGCCUACCAGCCCAUUCAUUCCCCUGAUGCUCUCUCCCAGCCGGCUCCUCUGCUCAGUGGUGAGGCUGGAGGCCAAGGUCACUGGCAUGGAAGGAGAAAAGUGACACAGGUGCCCGGCACUGUCCUCCGGCCCCGGACGGCUUGAGCCCAGAGCCUCCUUUGGAGCCCAGGUUCUGUCUCUCCCAUUCAUCUCCAGCAUCCAGCGUUUACGCCGCCAGCCCUCUCCUUCUCAGAUGGUGGAAAGCCCAAGAUGUCAAAGCCUGUUGUAAGUAAAGCUUUAAGAGGGGUCAUGUAUCUAAAUUGAUGUAUGUGAACCUCCUCCUGGAUAGAGAUUGUCUGCAGUCACUGGGAUGGGGA